GGAAGGAGGGGCGAUGGUUGCGGAGAGGUUCGCCUUUUCGAGGAAAGUCCGGGCUUCCACGAAGGCAAGGCUGCUGGAUAACGUCCAGUGCGAGCGAUCGCGAGGAAAGUGCCACAGAAACAUACCGCCGACGGAUGUUCCAAGCUGGUCUUGGGCAUUGCGGGCAAGGGUGCAAUGGUGCGGUAAGAGCGCACCGGCCGUAUCGAGAGGUACGGGCCUGGUAAACCCCAGUCGGAAGCAAGGCGAAGCAACGACCCGGUGCCUUCAACGGGAAAAUUGCAUACCCCUUUGGGGUUGGUGCCGCUUGAGGUGUUCGGCAACGAACGUCCCAGACAGAUAACCAUCCCGAUGGUGCCUACGGGUGCGAUCGGAACAGAACCCGGCUUACGGCCUGCUUCCCCUU
rnacentral:RNase_P_RNA from 1 species